rnacentral:SRP_RNA from 1 species
GCCGGGCACGGUGGCACGUCCUGUAGUCCCAGCUACUCUGUAGGCUGAGGUGGGAGGAUCGCUUGAGCCCAGGAGUUCUGGGCUGUAGUGUGCUAUGCCGAUCGGGUGUCCGCACUAAGUUCAGGAUCAAUAUGGUGACCUCCCGGGAGCAGGGGACCACCAGGUUGCCUAAGGAGGGGUGAACCAACCCAGGUCGGAAACAGAGCAGGCCAAUACUCCCGUGAUCAGUAGUGGGAUUGUGCCUGUGAAUAGCCAUGGCAUUCCAGCCUGGGCAACAUAGCUAGACCCUGUCUCU